rnacentral:rRNA from 1 species
AUUGAACGCUGGCGGCAGGCCUAACACAUGCAAGUCGAGCGAGCGGCGGACGGGUGAGUAAAGUCUGGGAAACUGCCUGAUGGAGGGGGAUAAAUACUGGAAACGGGAGCUAAUACCGCAUACCAUCAGAGGUGCCCAGAUGGGAGUAGCUAGUAGGUGGGGGAAUGGCUCACCUAGGAGACGAGCCCUAGCUGGUCUGAGAGGAUGACCAGCCACACUGGAACUGAGACACGGUCCAGACUCCUACGGGAGGCAGCAGUGGGGAAUAUUGCACAAUGGGCGCAAGCCUGAUGCAGCCAUGCCGCGUGUAUGAAGAAGGCCUUCGGGUUGUAAAGUACUUUCAGCGGGGAGGCGUUACCCGCAGAAGAAGCACCGGCUAACUCCGUGCCAGCAGCCGCGGUAAUUC